UAGAGUUUGAUCCUGGCUCAGGAUGAACGCUGGCGGUAUGCUUAACACAUGCAAGUCGAACGGUGUCUUCGGACACAGUGGCGGACGGGUGAGUAACGCGUGAGAAUCUGGCUUCAGGUCUGGGACAACCACUGGAAACGGUGGCUAAUACCGGAUGUGCCCUGCGGGGUGAAAGGUUAACUGCCUGAAGAUGAGCUCGCGUCUGAUUAGCUAGUAGGUGUGGUAAGAGCGCACCUAGGCGACGAUCAGUAGCUGGUCUGAGAGGACGAUCAGCCACACUGGGACUGAGACACGGCCCAGACUCCUACGGGAGGCAGCAGUGGGGAAUUUUCCGCAAUGGGCGAAAGCCUGACGGAGCAAUACCGCGUGAGGGAGGAAGGCUCUUGGGUCGUAAACCUCUUUUCUCAGGGAAGAAUCAAAUGACGGUACCUGAGGAAUAAGCAUCGGCUAACUCCGUGCCAGCAGCCGCGGUAAUACGGAGGAUGCAAGCGUUAUCCGGAAUGAUUGGGCGUAAAGCGUCCGCAGGUGGCGAUGUAAGUCUGCUGUUAAAGAGUCUAGCUCAACUAGAUAAGAGCAGUGGAAACUACAUACGCUAGAGUACGUUCGGGGGCAGAGGGAAUUCCUGGUGUAGCGGUGAAAUGCGUAGAGAUCAGGAAGAACACCAGUGGCGAAGGCGCUCUGCUAGGCCGUAACUGACACUGAGGGACGAAAGCUAGGGGAGCGAAUGGGAUUAGAUACCCCAGUAGUCCUAGCCGUAAACGAUGGAUACUAGGCGUGGCUUGUAUCGACCCGAGCCGUGCCGUAGCUAACGCGUUAAGUAUCCCGCCUGGGGAGUACGCCGGCAACGGUGAAACUCAAAGGAAUUGACGGGGGCCCGCACAAGCGGUGGAGUAUGUGGUUUAAUUCGAUGCAACGCGAAGAACCUUACCAAGGCUUGACAUGUUGCGAAUCUUGAUGAAAGUUGAGAGUGCCUUCGGGAGCGCGAACACAGGUGGUGCAUGGCUGUCGUCAGCUCGUGUCGUGAGAUGUUGGGUUAAGUCCCGCAACGAGCGCAACCCUCGUUUUUAGUUGCCAGCAUUAAGUUGGGCACUCUAGAGAGACUGCCGGUGACAAACCGGAGGAAGGUGGGGAUGACGUCAAGUCAGCAUGCCCCUUACGCCUUGGGCUACACACGUACUACAAUGCUCCGGACAGAGGGCAGCAAGAUAGCGAUGUCAAGCAAAUCCCGGAAACCGGAGCUCAGUUCAGAUCGCAGGCUGCAACUCGCCUGCGUGAAGGAGGAAUCGCUAGUAAUUGCAGGUCAGCAUACUGCAGUGAAUUCGUUCCCGGGCCUUGUACACACCGCCCGUCACACCAUGGAAGCUGGUAGUGCCCGAAGUCAUUACUCCAACCGUUCGCGGGGGAGGAUGCCUAAGGCAGGACUGGUGACUGGGGUGAAGUCGUAACAAGGUAGCCGUACCGGAAGGUGUGGCUGGAUCACCUCCUUU
rnacentral:rRNA from 2 species